UACGUAGGGGGCAAGCGUUGUCCGGAAUCAUUGGGCGUAAAGAGCGUGUAGGCGGCCUGGUAAGUCCGCUGUGAAAGUCCGGGGCUCAACCCUGGAAUGCCGGUGGAAACUGUCAGGCUCGAGUCCGGAAGAGGCGAGUGGAAUUCCUGGUGUAGCGGUGAAAUGCGCAGAUAUCAGGAGGAACACCAAUGGCGAAGGCAGCUCGCUGGGACGGUACUGACGCUGAGACGCGAAAGCGUGGGGAGCAAACAGG
rnacentral:rRNA from 1 species